ACCGAAAUAGCUCAGAUGGGAGAACGUUAGGCUGAAGAUCUAAAGGUCCCUGGUUUGAUCCUGGAUUUCAGCA